rnacentral:rRNA from 1 species
CAGGCCUAACACAUGCAAGUCGAACGGUCGUAGCAAUACGAUAGUGGCGCACGGGUGCGUAACACGUAACUAACCUACCCACAUUUGGGGGAUAGCCCGCCGAAAGGCGGAUUAAUACCGCAUAAGAUUACAGAACGGCAUCGUUUAGUAAUUAAAGAUUUAUUGAAUGUGGAUGGGGUUGCGGGUCAUUAGCUAGUUGGUGGGGUAACGGCCCACCAAGGCGACGAUGACUAGGGGAGCUGAGAGGCUGGUCCCCCACACGGGCACUGAGAUACGGGCCCGACUCCUACGGGAGGCAGCAGUAGGGAAUAUUGGGCAAUGGGCGAGAGCCUGACCCAGCCAUGCCGCGUGCAGGACGAAGGCUUUCUGAGUCGUAAACUGCUUUUGACAGGGAAGAAUAAGCUGCUCGUGAGCAGUGAUGACGGUACCUGCAGAAUAAGCACCGGCUAACUCCGUGCCAGCAGCCGCGGUAAU